CAGUCGCCGCGGGAAUACGAAGGGGGCUAGCGUUGCUCGGAAUGACUGGGCGUAAAGGGCGCGUAGGCGGCGAUCAAAGUCAGGCGUGAAAUUCCUGGGCUCAACCUGGGGGCUGCGCUUGAUACUUGGUUGCUUGAGUGGGGAAGAGGGUCGUGGAAUUCCCAGUGUAGAGGUGAAAUUCGUAGAUAUUGGGAAGAACACCGGUGGCGAAGGCGGCGACCUGGUCCUUGACUGACGCUGAGGCGCGAAAGCGUGGGGAGCAAAUAGGAUUAGAUACCCGAGUAGUCCCUGUCUCUUAUAC
rnacentral:rRNA from 1 species